UGACAGGCUCGCCAAGCAGCACGCCCUCCACGUGCGGCGAGCUCGGUGCCCUCUGCCCUUCCGGGAAGAGCCACGGCAUCCUGCCGAGUCCUCGGAACCCUGUCCCCAGAUUACCGGGUACUCGGGCUUGCCGGUGAAGAACUCUCUCAAUCCAGCACCGCCUAAACUCGGAGUUGGAGAACCAACACUGAGCACAGUGGUGCAAAUAAAAAAACCCACGCUUUCUCCCAAACCCUGAGAGUGCGUUCAUGGCCCCUAUACCCCGCUCUCCCUCUCUGGGGAGCUUUCUCUUCCUUCGCAGCCCUCAGGAUACUAGAUUACGAUUAAGAGAGAAGAGGUGAAACCAGCACUUUCUGAACCCAGGAGAAAAGACUUGUCCAAGAGUUCAAACACAAGAACACCUCUCACUUCAGUCACAGGACAGGAUCUGUGGGUGAGAAGGAGGUGCACCGAGGCCUGGGUCUAACUUCAACUUUCCCAAAGUCCUCUAGCAUUGAAUACCAGUGCUCCGUGCUUCCACAAAAAAAGCUGAUAGGCAGAAGAGUUGCGGACCAGAUGGACCACCCCCCCAAACCUUUGAGGGCAACUUCUCCAUUGCCCCUGUUCCCUCCCUAACAUGCCAGCGCCCCCUUCACUUCUUACCUCGCUGAAGUCCGAGGGCAACUGCCAGGCCCAGCGCUGAGCUCCUAAUUCUGCUGCCUCCAAGUCCGGUUUGAUGGAUUAAAGGCCUGAGUCGCCACACCCUGCAAUCCUUCCUCUUGCAGAAGCAGUGUUUCAUCUCCACACCCUCCCCAAAGACGGGCUCACACAGCCUUCAUCUGUUGUAUCUAUGUUGUAUCUGUUCUCGGCCCUUCAGUGCCCUCCCCCAACCCCUUGAGGCAGUUUCAUGUCGCCCAGGCUAGUAUGGGCCUUGCUAUAUCGUCUAGAAUGACAGGGAACUCCUGAGUUCCUGUCUCCACCUUCUGAGCACUGGGAUUAAAGGCAUGUGCCGCUA